rnacentral:rRNA from 1 species
GACGAACGCUGGCGGCGUGCCUAAUACAUGCAAGUUGAGCGAUGAAGAUUGGUGCUUGCACCAAUUUGAAGAGCAGCGAACGGGUGAGUAACGCGUGGGGAAUCUGCCUUUGAGCGGGGGACAACAUUUGGAAACGAAUGCUAAUACCGCAUAACAACUUUAAACAUAAGUUUUAAGUUUGAAAGAUGCAAUUGCAUCACUCAAAGAUGAUCCCGCGUUGUAUUAGCUAGUUGGUGAGGUAAAGGCUCACCAAGGCGAUGAUACAUAGCCGACCUGAGAGGGUGAUCGGCCACAUUGGGACUGAGACACGGCCCAAACCCCUACGGGAGGCAGCAGUAGGGAAUCUUCGGCAAUGGACGAAAGUCUGACCGAGCAACGCCGCGUGAGUGAAGAAGGUUUUCGGAUCGUAAAACUCGGUUGGUAGAGAAGAACGUUGGUGAGAGUGGAAAGCUCAUCAAGUGACGGUAACUACCCAGAAAGGGACGGCUAACUACGUG